rnacentral:rRNA from 1 species
UACGGAGGAUCCAAGCGUUAUCCGGAUUCAUUGGGUUUAAAGGGUGCGUAGGCGGAAUGAUAAGUCAGUGGUGAAAUCUCGGAGCUUAACUCCGAAACUGCCAUUGAUACUGUCAAUCUUGAGUACAUUUGAUGUGGGCGGAAUGUGUCAUGUAGCGGUGAAAUGCUUAGAUAAUGACACAGAACACCGAUUGCGAAGGCAGCUCACAAAACUGUAACUGACGCUGAGGCACGAAGCGUGGGUAUCAAACAGGA